rnacentral:lncRNA from 1 species
GCAUUCAACUACAUCGCAAUGGCGAAGCUUAAAGUUGUUAACAUUGUUUUCUUUCUAUUAUUGGGUAUAGGAAUAUGUUCAGCUGCUAGAACCCUCCUCACUUAUGAUCAUGUAGGUGUUGGGGGUGAGGUAGGUGCCUAUGGUGCAGGCCAUGGCAUUGGCGGUGGCGCUGGUGGUGGUGUUGCUGGUGGAGGCUAUGCUGGUGGUGGUGGAGGAGGUUCCGCCUAUGGAGCAGGCCAUGGCAUUGGGGGUGGCGCUGAUGGUGGUGUUGCUGGUGGUGGCUAUGCUGGUGGUGGUGGAGGAGGUUCCGGUGGAGGUGGUGGAUAUGGAGCUGCAGGUGACCAUGGUUAUGCCAGCGGAGGUGGCAGUGGAGGUGGAGCCGGUGGUGGUUCUGGCUAUGCCGCCGGAGGAGACCAUGGUGCUGGAUAUUCUGGAGGAGGUGGUGGUGGAAGCGGGGCAGGAGGUGGUUACGCUGGUGGAGAACACGAUGCUGGACAUGCAAGUGCUGGUGGUGAAGGUGGUGGUAGUGGAUAAUGUGAAAUUCGAAGAAGCAACCAAUUCAGCUGCUAGAACCCUCCUCACUUAUGAUCAUGUAGGUGUUGGGGGUGAGGUUGGCGCCUAUGGUGCAGGUCAUGGCAUUGGAGGCUAUGCUGGUGGCGGCGGAGGGGGUUCCGGUGGAGGUGGUGGAUAUGGAGCUGCAGGUGACCAUGGUUAUGCCAGCGGAGGUGGCAGUGGAGGUGGAGCCGGUGGUGGUUCUAGCUAUGCAGCUGGAGGAGAUGGUGGUGGAAGCGGAGCAGGAGGUGGCUAUGCUGGUGGAGGACACGAUGCUGGACAUGCAAGUGGUGGUGGUGAACGUAGUGGUAGCGGAUAUGGUGCUGGAGGAGCACCGGGUGGUGGUUAUGGUGCUGGAGGUGGUGGAGGCAGUGGCGGCGGCGGAGCAGCUGCAGGUGGAGCACAUGGUAGUGGAUAUGCCGAAGGCGCAGGAGGAGGUA